rnacentral:lncRNA from 1 species
UUUUUACAAGACGUUAUGGGUGUUUAAACAGAAGGUGUCCGACAAGGAACAAUUUUAAUAGGAUGUACAACUUGUAUAGCACAAGUGCAAGGUACAACUCGACGAAGCACAGACAGAUUCUUUUAUACACGGAUUUAGCUCACUUUUCUUCAUUUCUUCAAAGUAUGGACGAUUUUUGGGGAGCUUCAAGAGGGGAUUUUCAUCAUCAAUGUGAAGGUAAGUUAUCCCCACCUAUUUUGAGUUAAGUACAUCAAUUAUGUAUGGAUUUGAGCAUGAAAAUUGUAGAAAAAUUGAGGAUUUAGGCCUAUAGAUUUGAAAAUAAGAUUUGGUGAUUUAAGGGAUCAAAUGAACUCCGAUUUUGGUAAAUUUUAUAUGUACGGACUCGUCGCGAGACGAAGAAUCCGGUGAUGUGACUUUCGUAAUUUUUCGAGAAAUGGGCCCGGGGCUCGGGUUUUGCAAAUUUCGUGAUUUUCGAUAUUUUUCGAGUCUUUUCGAUUGGGUUAUAUUCCCUUAGACUAUUGUAAUAUAUUCCUUGUGGUUUUGGUAAGAUUCGACGCGCGAGGAGGUCGAUUCGAAAGAAAAGGGCAUCGCGGAGUAGAC